CUGAAAAGACAGAAGCUCUGAGAACAAGCACAGAAAACGGAAAUGGUGUGCCCCUCAUUGUGAUAAAAUACCGGGACAAGACAACAACAUAAGGAAGAGUUUACUUGAGCUCCCAGUUGAAGGUACAGCCCGUCACAGCUGGGAUGUGGCGACAGCAGGAACUUGAAGCCGCUGCUCUCAUCUCAUCCACAGUAGAAGCCAGCAAUGGACGCAGCUGCUCCUCGACCCCUCUCUCCAUUUAUCCAGCCCAGGGAAUGUCCCACAAUUAAGAUGGGCCUUCCCACUUGAAUUAUCGUCAUCGAGAGAACCCCUCAGAGUCACGCUCAGAGGCCCAGAGUGUGUAGCCAGCUGUUUGUAUUCCUCCAGUUCCCUGAUUAAAUCCCCCUGAUCUGGAGA
rnacentral:lncRNA from 1 species